rnacentral:rRNA from 1 species
ACUCAAAUGAAUAGACGGGGGCUCACACAAGCGGUGGAGCAUGUGGCUUAAUUCGAAGCAACGCGAAGAACCUUACCCGGGCUUGACAUGCAUGGAUGCCCUUCUUCGAUGAGUUGAAGGGUUACCUUUCGGGGUGAAACAUGCACAGGUGUUGCACGGCUGUCGUCAGCUCGUGCUGUGAAGUGUCGGGUUAAGUCCCUUAACGAGCGAAACCCUUGUCGCCAGUUACCAGCGGGUAAAGCCGGGGACUCUGGCGAGACUGCCGGCGUUAAGCCGGAGGAAGGCGGGGACGACGUCAAGUCAUCGUGGCCCUUAUGUCCGGGGAUGCACACGUGCUACAAUGGCGAUUACAGAGCGCUGCAAGACCGUAAGGUGGAGCAAAUCGCAAAAAAGUCGCCCCAGUUCGGAUUGGAGGCUGCAAUUCGCCUCCAUGAAGUUGGAAUCGCUAGUAAUCGCGCAUCAGCUACGGCGCGGUGAAUGUGUUCCUGAGCCUUGUACACACCGCCCGU